AUUGAACGCUGGCGGCAGGCCUAACACAUGCGAGUCGAAUGGUAACAGGAAACAGCUUGCUGUUUCGCUGACGAGUGGCGGACGUGUGUGUAAUGUCUGUGACACUGCCUGAUGGAGGGGGAUAAUUACUGGAAACGGUAGCUAAUACCGCAUAACGUCGCAAGACCAAAGAGCGGGACCUUCGGGCCUCUUUCCAUCAGAUGUGCCCAGAUGGCAUUAGCUAGUAGGUGGGGUAACGGCUCACCUAGGCGACGAUCCCUAGCUGGUCUGAGAGGAUGACCAGCCACACUGGAACUGAGACACGGUCCAGACUCCUACGGGAGGCAGCAGUGGGGAAUAUUGCACAAUGGGCGAAAGCCUGAUGCAGCCAUGCCGCGUGUAUGAAGAAGGCCUUCGGGUUGUAAAGUACUGUCAGCGGGGAGGAAGGGAGGAAAGUUAAUACCUGUGCUCAUUGACGGUACCCGCAGAAGAAGCACCGGCUAACUCCGUG
rnacentral:rRNA from 1 species